UUUCUAAUCUUUUCUUCAAAAAAAAUUUAAAAAAAUAAAAAAUAAAGCUCCGUUUUGGUAUAGUUUUCUAAGAUUUAUUAUCUAAAAGUUACUUGAAAAAGUUAUAUAGUCUUUGCUAACAUGUGUUUACAUUGUCAUGCUCAGUGUGAUGAGACAAACAGUUUCUGCAGCAUGGAUCGGUCAAGUGAAUUGCCAGAUGAAAUUACUAUCUACAUUCUGUCAUUUUUGAAAUUGAAAGAAGCAGCAAGGAUUAGUGUCCUCUCUAGAAGGUACCGGGGACAUCUGUGGAAAUUUGCGUCCAGUAGCUUGGACUUUGAUGAUUCAUCGUUACAAUAUCUCAGGAAGAAGAGCUUUUUUAAAACUUUACCUGGAAUUGACAGGGAUAGGUAUGUCGGUUGGGUAAAUCACGUAUUGCGAUUGCAUCAAGCUCAUUCCAUAGAUGGGUUUAAAGUUUGUUUUCCUCUGGAUGAGUAGUAUAACAAAUUGGAUAUGGACAAUUGGAUACUUUUUUCACUGAGAAAGAAUGUGAAAAGGCUUUCAUUGGAUUUCAACCCUAUUUUUCAGAAGGUUUAUAGGGGAUAUUACACUCUUCCUACUCAGAUUCCUCAUGGUUAUAGCCUUGAUUCCCUAACAAACCUCUGUUUGAGUUAUGUGGAAGUGACCGGAAAAGUUCUUAAUUAUAUUUUAUCUAAUUGUCCAUAUAUUGAAGCAUUACACGUGGACUCCUCAGCAUCUUUAGUGAAUUUAAAGCCUUCUAGGCCUUUGCUCAAACUAAAGCACUUAGAGAUAUUACAUUGCGGCUAUUGAGAUUUCCGCUGUAAAUCUUGUUUCAUUCAAAUAUUUUGGGCUUAAGAUAAGGUUGUGUCUUGGGGAUGUUCCCAAUCUCGUUGAUGUGUCUGUGGAAGGUCUGUAUGCUAGCUAUUUCGUGCAGAAAUGUUGCCCUAUUUCAAGUUAUCUCUCUCAGCUGCAGACAAUUGUACUAGACGUGUCUGUUGAGAGGUUCCCUAAAUUUCCAAAGUAAAGAAACCUCAGGCAAUUAACAUUGAUUGUAUCUUCAUAUCUUGCCAACAGUCUCCUUUGUUGCACUUCCACGCUGAAGGCAUCUCCCUUUUUGCAUAAAUUUACACUUGAGUCGAUAGGGCUAGAUAAUGCCCUUGGCACAAUAAAGGAGCAGAGGGCUAAAUAUCCACACCAAUGCCUCAAGAUGCUUGAAUUGAUUGGAUUUGUGGGUGGUACACUUGACAUGGAGCUUGCCCUAGACGUACUCAACAAUGCUUUGUCAUUGGAGACGAUAAUUAUUGAUACGCGAAUUCCAUUUGGGAAGCAUAUUAGUGAUCCUGAGAAGAAAUUAACUGCUAUAGCUAGAGCCAGGCAACUAGAAACAACUUUACCACCAGGGAUUAAAAUGGUGAUAGUGUAAAUGUGUUGUGAAAUAUAAACCUUUAUGUAUUCAUGGAGUAAGCUUAGGGUGAAUGUAACUGUUAAGCUGUAUUUUC